GACGAACGCUGGCGGCGUGCUUAACACAUGCAAGUCGAGCGGUAAGGCCUUUCGGGGUACACGAGCGGCGAACGGGUGAGUAACACGUGGGUGACCUGCCUUUAGCUUCGGGAUAAGCCUGGGAAACCGGGUCUAAUACCGGAUAUGACCUCAUGUCGCAUGGUGUGGGGUGGAAAGUUCUUCGUCUAGAGAUGGGCCCGCGGCCUAUCAGCUUGUUGGUGGGGUGAUGGCCUACCAAGGCGACGACGGGUAGCCGGCCUGAGAGGCGACCGGCCACACUGGGACUGAGAUACGGCCCAGACUCCUACGGGAGGCAGCAGUGGGAAUAUUGCGCAAUGGGCGGAAGCCUGACGCAGCGACGCCGCGU
rnacentral:rRNA from 1 species